rnacentral:rRNA from 1 species
GAUGAACGCUGGCGGCGUGCCUAAUACAUGCAAGUCGAGCGAACGGACGAGAAGCUUGCUUCUCUGAUGUUAGCGGCGGACGGGUGAGUAACACGUGGAUAACCUACCUAUAAGACUGGGAUAACUUCGGGAAACCGGAACUAAUACCGGAUGAUAUUUUGAACCGCAUGGUUCAAAAGUGAAAGACGGUCUUGCUGUCACUUAUAGAUGGAUCCGCGCUGCAUUAGCUAGUUGGUAAGGUAACGGCUUACCAAGGUAACGAUGCAUAGCCGACCUGAGAGGGUGAUCGGCCACACUGGAACUGAGACACGGCCCAGACUCCUACGGGAGGCAGCAGUAGGGAAUCUUCCGCAAUGGGCGAAAGCCUGACGGAGCAACGCCGCGUGAGUGAUGAAGGUCUUCGGAUCGUAAAACUCUGUUAUUAGGGAAGAACAUAUGUGUAAGUAACUGUGCACAUCUUGACGGUACCUAAUCAGAAAGCCACGGCUAACUACGUG